GUGGGGAAUCUUCCGCAAUGGACGAAAGUCUGACGGAGCGACGCCGCGUGAGUGAAGAAGGCCUUCGGGUCGUAAAGCUCUGUCAUCAGGGACGAACGGCCGGUGGAGUGGAAAGCCACCGGAUUGACGGUACCUGAGAAGGAAGCCACGGCUAACUACGUGCCAGCAGCCGCGGUAAUACGUAGGUGGCAAGCGUUGUCCGGAAUUAUUGGGCGUAAAGCGCGCGCAGGUGGGAUCUUAAGUCCAUUUUGAAAGUUCGGAGCUCAACUCCGUGAUGGGAGGGAAACUGGGAUUCUUGAGUACCGGAGAGGAAAGCGGAAUUCCCCGUGUAGCGGUGAAAUGCGUAGAUAUGGGGAGGAACACCAGUGGCGAAGGCGGCUUUCUGGACGGUGUCUGACACUGAGGCGCGAAAGCCAGGGGAGCGAACGGGAUUAGAUACCCGUGUAGUCC
rnacentral:rRNA from 1 species